UAUUCAAAAAUUUAUCUAUUUGUAUUGUUAAAAACGAGUACAGCUGAUGAAAUAAUCAGAUAAUGAUAAAUAACAUAUCACUUAUACCUCGUGCUGAUGUAAAAUUACUAAUUUUUAACAAUAAAAAUAAAUAAAAUUUUUAGUA
rfam:Gossypium raimondii Chr02_contig_47, whole genome shotgun sequence.